GGGUUGUGAGGUUAAGCGACUAAGCGUACACGGUGGAUGCCUUGGCAGUCAGAGGCGAUGAAGGACGUGCUAAUCUGCGAUAAGCGUCGGUAAGGUGAUAUGAACCGUUAUAACCGGCGAUUUCCGAAUGGGGAAACCCAGUGUGAUUCGUCACACUAUCAUUAACUGAAUCCAUAGGUUAAUGAGGCGAACCGGGGGAACUGAAACAUCUAAGUACCCCGAGGAAAAGAAAUCAACCGAGAUUCCCCCAGUAGCGGCGAGCGAACGGGGAGCAGCCCAGAGCCUGAAUCAGUGUGUGUGUUAGUGGAAGCGUCUGGAAAGGCGUGCGAUACAGGGUGACAGCCCCGUACACAAAAAUGCACAUACUGUGAGCUCGAUGAGUAGGGCGGGACACGUGGUAUCCUGUCUGAAUAUGGGGGGACCAUCCUCCAAGGCUAAAUACUCCUGACUGACCGAUAGUGAACCAGUACCGUGAGGGAAAGGCGAAAAGAACCCCGGCGAGGGGAGUGAAAAAGAACCUGAAACCGUGUACGUACAAGCAGUGGGAGCACGCUUAGGCGUGUGACUGCGUACCUUUUGUAUAAUGGGUCAGCGACUUAUAUUCUGUAGCAAGGUUAACCGAAUAGGGGAGCCGAAGGGAAACCGAGUCUUAACUGGGCGUUAAGUUGCAGGGUAUAGACCCGAAACCCGGUGAUCUAGCCAUGGGCAGGUUGAAGGUUGGGUAACACUAACUGGAGGACCGAACCGACUAAUGUUGAAAAAUUAGCGGAUGACUUGUGGCUGGGGGUGAAAGGCCAAUCAAACCGGGAGAUAGCUGGUUCUCCCCGAAAGCUAUUUAGGUAGCGCCUCGUGAAUUCAUCUCCGGGGGUAGAGCACUGUUUCGGCAAGGGGGUCAUCCCGACUUACCAACCCGAUGCAAACUGCGAAUACCGGAGAAUGUUAUCACGGGAGACACACGGCGGGUGCUAACGUCCGUCGUGAAGAGGGAAACAACCCAGACCGCCAGCUAAGGUCCCAAAGUCAUGGUUAAGUGGGAAACGAUGUGGGAAGGCCCAGACAGCCAGGAUGUUGGCUUAGAAGCAGCCAUCAUUUAAAGAAAGCGUAAUAGCUCACUGGUCGAGUCGGCCUGCGCGGAAGAUGUAACGGGGCUAAACCAUGCACCGAAGCUGCGGCAGCGACGCUUAUGCGUUGUUGGGUAGGGGAGCGUUCUGUAAGCCUGUGAAGGUGUGCUGUGAGGUAUGCUGGAGGUAUCAGAAGUGCGAAUGCUGACAUAAGUAACGAUAAAGCGGGUGAAAAGCCCGCUCGCCGGAAGACCAAGGGUUCCUGUCCAACGUUAAUCGGGGCAGGGUGAGUCGACCCCUAAGGCGAGGCCGAAAGGCGUAGUCGAUGGGAAACAGGUUAAUAUUCCUGUACUUGGUGUUACUGCGAAGGGGGGACGGAGAAGGCUAUGUUGGCCGGGCGACGGUUGUCCCGGUUUAAGCGUGUAGGCUGGUUUUCCAGGCAAAUCCGGAAAAUCAAGGCCGAGGCGUGAUGACGAGGCACUACGGUGCUGAAGCAACAAAUGCCCUGCUUCCAGGAAAAGCCUCUAAGCAUCAGGUAACAUCAAAUCGUACCCCAAACCGACACAGGUGGUCAGGUAGAGAAUACCAAGGCGCUUGAGAGAACUCGGGUGAAGGAACUAGGCAAAAUGGUGCCGUAACUUCGGGAGAAGGCACGCUGAUACGUAGGUGAAGCGACUUGCUCGUGGAGCUGAAAUCAGUCGAAGAUACCAGCUGGCUGCAACUGUUUAUUAAAAACACAGCACUGUGCAAACACGAAAGUGGACGUAUACGGUGUGACGCCUGCCCGGUGCCGGAAGGUUAAUUGAUGGGGUUAGCGCAAGCGAAGCUCUUGAUCGAAGCCCCGGUAAACGGCGGCCGUAACUAUAACGGUCCUAAGGUAGCGAAAUUCCUUGUCGGGUAAGUUCCGACCUGCACGAAUGGCGUAAUGAUGGCCAGGCUGUCUCCACCCGAGACUCAGUGAAAUUGAACUCGCUGUGAAGAUGCAGUGUACCCGCGGCAAGACGGAAAGACCCCGUGAACCUUUACUAUAGCUUGACACUGAACAUUGAGCCUUGAUGUGUAGGAUAGGUGGGAGGCUUUGAAGUGUGGACGCCAGUCUGCAUGGAGCCGACCUUGAAAUACCACCCUUUAAUGUUUGAUGUUCUAACGUGGACCCGUGAUCCGGGUUGCGGACAGUGUCUGGUGGGUAGUUUGACUGGGGCGGUCUCCUCCUAAAGAGUAACGGAGGAGCACGAAGGUUGGCUAAUCCUGGUCGGACAUCAGGAGGUUAGUGCAAUGGCAUAAGCCAGCUUGACUGCGAGCGUGACGGCGCGAGCAGGUGCGAAAGCAGGUCAUAGUGAUCCGGUGGUUCUGAAUGGAAGGGCCAUCGCUCAACGGAUAAAAGGUACUCCGGGGAUAACAGGCUGAUACCGCCCAAGAGUUCAUAUCGACGGCGGUGUUUGGCACCUCGAUGUCGGCUCAUCACAUCCUGGGGCUGAAGUAGGUCCCAAGGGUAUGGCUGUUCGCCAUUUAAAGUGGUACGCGAGCUGGGUUUAGAACGUCGUGAGACAGUUCGGUCCCUAUCUGCCGUGGGCGCUGGAGAACUGAGGGGGGCUGCUCCUAGUACGAGAGGACCGGAGUGGACGCAUCACUGGUGUUCGGGUUGUCAUGCCAAUGGCACUGCCCGGUAGCUAAAUGCGGAAGAGAUAAGUGCUGAAAGCAUCUAAGCACGAAACUUGCCCCGAGAUGAGUUCUCCCUGACCCUUUAAGGGUCCUGAAGGAACGUUGAAGACGACGACGUUGAUAGGCCGGGUGUGUAAG
rnacentral:rRNA from 1 species